GUCCUUUAGGUAAUUAUAAUUUAAGGUCUAACCUGCCCAUUGAUAAGUUAAAAGGCCGCAGUAAUUUGACUGUGCAAAGGUAGCAUAAUCAUUAGUUUUUUAAUUAAAAGCUUGUAUGAAUGGUUGGACGAGAUAAAAUCUGUCUCUUUAUAAAAAAUAGAAUUUAAUUUUUAAGUUAAAAAGCUUAAAUUUAUAUAAAAGACGAGAAGACCCUAUAGAUCUUUAUAUAAUUUUUUUUUGUAUUAAUAAAGAAAAUUUAAUUUAUUAAAAAAAUUUAUAUUUUAUUGGGGUAAUAAAAAGAUUAAUUAAAUUCUUUUAUAAAAAACAAUAAUUAUUGAUUAUAUGAUCCAUUAUUAAUGAUUAUAAGAUUAAGUUACCUUAGGGAUAACAGCGUAAUUUUUUUAGAGAGUUCUUAUCAAUAAAAAAGUUUGCGACCUCGAUGUUGGAUUAAAAGUAAUUCUAGGUGCAGAAGUUUAGAGUUUUGGUCUGUUCGACCAUUAAAUUUUU
rnacentral:rRNA from 1 species